CCUUGUUGUUUUUCUCUUGUCCUUUCACUUCGCCCCCGGUGACAUCACCAGCGCUCCGGCUCCAGAUGCGAGGCGUCCAAAAGUCUUUCUCCACGGGUUUAUUUGACUUGGCUGUUCGUUUUUGAGAAGGUUGCGACGGGUGCAGUAUGCCAGGGUGAUUCCGGGGGGGCGGGAUAUUUACCCAAAUAUCUUAGAAUCCAUCAGAUGGAUCACGAAAAGAAAACCUGAUGAAUUAAUUCCGUUAGCGAGACAAAGGAAGAGCUCCCUUAUAACAUUAAAAGCCACUCAGUGGUCUGGAACCAUCAUCUUCUCUGUGUUCGAUCACCUUCUAUUUCCAGCACUUAUUGAUUCCGUGUGGAAGUCUGUCGAUGGGCCGCGUCCCCGUAGGAAGGUGGACGCGUCCGUGUGUCGGGGGGGCGUUUGCAGGCGGAGCGGCCCGGAUGGCUCCCUGCAUGUACGUGAGAUGAGGAUGUGCUUGUUGAAGUGGUAAACAGACUGUUGGCCCCGUGCCAACCGUCCUGCAGCUGGAAGAGAAGAAGAAGGAGAAGAAGAAGAAGAAGAAGACGACGUCCCAGUAAACAGGAAGCAGUUCAUUACUGGUGAUACCCUGACAAUGAGGUUAUGUGCCGAUAAUUGGGAUUAAAUUGGGAGAUUAAAAUGCUUC
ensembl:lncRNA